AUUGAACGCUGGCGGAAUGCUUUACACAUGCAAGUCGAACGGCAGCACGGACUUCGGUCUGGUGGCGAGUGGCGAACGGGUGAGUAAUGUAUCGGAACGUGCCCAGUCGUGGGGGAUAACGUAGUGAAAAUUACGCUAAUACCGCAUACGAUCUAUGGAUGAAAGCGGGGGAUCGCAAGACCUCGCGCGAUUGGAGCGGCCGAUAUCAGAUGAGGUAGUUGGUGGGGUAAAGGCCCACCAAGCCAACGAUCUGUAGCUGGUCUGAGAGGACGACCAGCCACACUGGAACUGAGACACGGUCCAGACUCCUACGGGAGGCAGCUGUGGGGAAUUUUGGACAAUGGGCGAAAGCCUGAUCCAGCCAUUCCGCGUGCAGGAUGAAGGCCCUCGGGUUGUAAACUGCUUUUGUACAGAACGAAAAGGUUUCUACUAAUACUAGGAGCUCAUGACGGUACUGUAAGAAUAAGCACCGGCUAACUACGUGCCAGCCGCCGCAGUAA
rnacentral:rRNA from 1 species